AUUGAACGCUGGCGGCAUGCCUUACACAUGCAAAUCGAACGGUAACGGGCCUUCGGGUGCCGACGAGUGGCGAACGGGUGCGUAAUACAUCGGAACGUGCCCGAUCGUGGGGGAUAACGAGGCGAAAGCUUUGCUAAUACCGCAUACGAUCUACGGAUGAAAGCAGGGGACCGCAAGGCCUUGCGCGGACGGAGCGGCCGAUGGCAGAUUAGGUAGUUGGUGGGAUAAAAGCUUACCAAGCCGACGAUCUGUAGCUGGUCUGAGAGGAUGAUCGGCCACACUGGGACUGAGACACGGCCCAGACUCCUACGGGAGGCAGCAGUGGGGAAUUUUGGACAAUGGGCGCAAGCCUGAUCCAGCCAUGCCGCGUGCAGGAUGAAGGCCUUCGGGUUGUAAACUGAUUUUGUACGGAACGAAAAGCCUUCUUUUAAUACAGGAGGGUCAUGACGGUACCGUAAGAAUAAGCACCGGCUAACUACGUG
rnacentral:rRNA from 1 species